UGAGGAGUAUUGGUCAAUGGACGGAAGUCUGAACCAGCCAAGUAGCGUGCAGGAUGACGGCCCUAUGGGUUGUAAACUGCUUUUGUAUGGGGAUAAAGUUAGGGACGUGUCCCUAUUUGCAGGUACCAUACGAAUAAGGACCGGCUAAUUCCGUGCCAGCAGCCGCGGUAAUACGGAAGGUCCAGGCGUUAUCCGGAUUUAUUGGGUUUAAAGGGAGCGUAGGCUGGAGAUUAAGUGUGUUGUGAAAUGUAGACGCUCAACGUCUGAAUUGCAGCGCAUACUGGUUUCCUUGAGUACGCACAACGUUGGCGGAAUUCGUCGUGUAGCGGUGAAAUGCUUAGAUAUGACGAAGAACUCCGAUUGCGAAGGCAGCUGACGGGAGCGCAACUGACGCUUAAGCUCGAAGGUGCGGGUAUCAAACAGGAUUAGAUACCCUGGUAGUCCGCACAGUAAACGAUGGAUGCCCGCUGUUGGUACCUGGUAUCAGCGGCUAAGCGAAAGCAUUAAGCAUCCCACCUGGGGAGUACGCCGGCNCGGU
rnacentral:rRNA from 1 species